GAUGAACGCUGGCGGCGUGCCUAAUACAUGCAAGUCGAGCGAACGGACGAGAAGCUUGCUUCUCUGAUGUUAGCGGCGGACGGGUGAGUAACACGUGGAUAACCUACCUCUAAGACUGGGAUAACUUCGGGAAACCGUAGCUAAUACCGGAUAAUAUUUUGAACCGCAUGGUUCAAAAGUGAAAGACGGUCUUGCUGUCACUUAUAGCUGGAUCCGCGCUGCAUUAGCUAGUUGGUAAGGUAACGGCUUACCAAGGCAACGAUGCAUAGCCGACCUGAGAGGGUGAUCGGCCACACUGGAACUGAGACACGGUCCAGACUCCUACGGGAGGCAGCAGUAGGGAAUCUUCCGCAAUGGGCGAAAGCCUGACGGAGCAACGCCGCGUGAGUGAUGAAGGUCUUCGGAUCGUAAAACUCUGUUAUUAGGGAAGAACAUAUGUGUAAGUAACUGUGCACAUCUUGACGGUACCUAAUCAGAAAGCCACGGCUAACUACGUG
rnacentral:rRNA from 1 species